AUACGGAGGGUGCAAGCGUUGUCCGGAUUUAUUGGGUUUAAAGGGUGCGUAGGUGGCGUGUUAAGUCAGUGGUGAAAGCCUGCAGCUCAACUGUAGAGGUGCCAUUGAUACUGACAUGCUUGAGUAUGGACGAGGUAGGCGGAAUUUGUGGUGUAGCGAUGAAAUGCAUAGAUACCACAAAGAACACCGAUAGCGAAGGCAGCUUACUGGACCAUAACUGACACUGAGGCACGAAAGUGUGGGUAGCGAACAGGAUUAGAUACCCUAGUAGUCC
rnacentral:rRNA from 1 species